rnacentral:misc_RNA from 1 species
AACGCACAUUGCGCCCCUCGGUAUUCCGAGGGGCAUGCCUGUUCGAGCGUCAUUUCACCCCUCAAGCUCAGCUUGGCGUUGGGCGCCGUCCUUCACCGGACGCGCCUCAAAGACCUCGGCGGUGGCGUCUUGCCCUCAAGCGUAGUAGAAAACACCUCGCUUUGGAGGACGGGACGUCCGCCCGCCGGACGAACCUUCCGAACUUCGGUUUUCUCAAGGUUGACCUCGGAUCAGGUAGGGAUACCCGCUGAACUUAA